CGUCCUGACCGCGUAGCUCAGUUGGAAGAGCAUUGGGCUAGUAUUCCAAAGGUCGUAGGUUCGAAUCCCACCGUGGCCGGGCAUAUUUUCAAGCUCGCCCGGUGUGGAUAUGCACUCAGAGUAACACCACAAAUAUCAUAUUCACCUGAGUACACUACACCAACACAGAAAAAAAAAAAAAAAAAUAAUAAUAAUAUUGAACACUAUUGUUGAGCCUGAAUAUUGUUCAAUAUUGUUGACAGCUAUGAACAAUGUGGGCAGCAAAACAUUGUUCAAUCCUGUUUUCAUCAGUAUUGCAUCAACCUGAACGUUUUUACGCGUGUACGAUACGGUUGAAGUGGAAAGUGGCCUUUAAAUGGCUAUGUAACUAACACAAACCCUACACCUAGUCCCUACUCUAGGCUAACCCUAACCCCAACCCUAACUCUAACCCUAAUCGAAUUAAUAAAAAAUUGCAAAAAAACGACUUUAGAAAAUCGAUAGGGCGGUUUGCUGGAUGGAAAAAAGUGCUAACCGCCAAAAUCAUUGGAAAAUCAUAGGAAAAACCAAGAAAUUGGGCUUUUGUA